rnacentral:lncRNA from 1 species
AUGAAUUGAGAGAUACUAAAAUGUAGAUUUUUGUUGUUGUUGUUUUGAGACAGAGUCUCACUGUGUCGCCCAGGGUGGAGUGCAGUGGCGCGAUCUCGGCUCAUUGCAGCCUCUGCCUCCUGGGUUUAAGUGAUUCUCAUGUCUCAGCUUCCCAAGUAGCUGGGAUUACAGGCAUUUACCAUCACACCGGGCUAAUUUUUGUAUUAUUAGUAGAGACGGGGUUUCACCAUGUUGGCCAUGCUGGUCUCGAACUCCUGACUUCAGGUGAUCCACCCGCCUUGGCCUCCCAAAGUGCUGGGAUCACAGGCGUGAGCCACCACACCCAGCCUAGAUAUUCUUUGAUGCUAAAAUUCUGUUAACAGAAAUGUAUCCUAGGAAGAUAAUAGAGUACGAGAAAAAAAAACCCCAGAGAUGCAGAUUGAGUUUUUUACAUAAAGAGGUUCAUGUUAUGCUAUUUAGAAUAACAACAAUUUGAAAGUAAAUCUAAUGCCCCAAAUUAAUGAGUAGUGGCACGACGUGUGACACCUCUGAUUUAGCGAGGAUUAGAUUCACUCUUGAGUAAUAGAGCACCCAAAAUUACAGCAACAUUAUGAAACACAAACUUCACACACAUUCCAGAGAUAGGCUGUCCAAGGCUAGCGUGGUGCCUCCAUAAUUAUCAAGGACUCAGGAGACGUCUAUCCAGUUCUGCUGUCCUCAGUGAGUGGCUUUUACCCCACACUCCAAUAUGGCGGCUUGAGUCUUGCCAUUAUGUCUGCAUUUGAGCUGUCAUGAGGUGGAAGAAGCAAAAAAGAGUACCACUCUCCCUUUAUGAAAUCGCACCUAACGCUUCCACUUACUUUCCAUUGGUUGGACAUUAGUCACAUAGGUACACCUAGCUGUAAGAGAUGCCAGGAAAGACGAUAAGACAAUAAAGAAACACCUUUCUUUUUCUUCUUCUUUUUUUUUUUUUUUUUGAGACAGGUUCUCGCUUUGUCGUCCAGGCUGGAGUGAGAUGAUACAAUCAUGACUCACUGCAGCCUCCACCUCCUGGGCUCAAGUGAUCCUGCCACCUUAGCCUCCCAAAGUGCUGGGAUUACAGGCAUGAGCCACCGCACCCAACCUAGACAGCUGACGCUGACCCAGAGCCCCAAGAGGUCAGGUCUCUGGCACCUUACAGCAUUGGGGUUUCGGUCCAUUUUUGUACCACAAAUAGGUCUAAAAUGAUUUUGAGUGUGACUGUGUCUUUUAUUUUCUGAUAGACGGGGUGCUUUUAAAUUUUCCCUUUUAGAGGCAGAGCAAUUCUCCUUACAGGCACUUGCCACCAUGCCUGGCUAAGUUUUAUAUUUUUAGUAGAGACGGGGUUUCACCAUGUUGACCAGACUGGUCUCGAACUCCUGACCUCCUGAUCUGCCCAUCUUGGACUCCCAAAGUGCUGGGAUUACAGGCGUGAGCCACUGCGCCUGGCCGUCAUAAGGAUUAAUUAGGAUAUUGCCUAUAAUUGCCUGGCCCAGGAGAGGUGAGAUGUGCAUGUCUUCCUCCCCAGUCCUCACCGUGGCUGCUUGGUCACUGGCUUGCCUGCUUGGUUUCUCUUUGAGGCUCCUCUGAGUAGGAUUGGCCAGCAUCCAUGGGCCACUCCCUUCCUGAAUGUACUGGGACCCAGUCUGCAAUGAAGUCAUUGUUUGAAGCAUCUGCUCUUUGUUUGGUAAAUCUUCCCACAGGGGGCUGGAAGCCCACAGCUCCCCUCUGCCAGGCCUCGGCUGGAGGCAGGGUCCACAGUCUUGCCUUGGCAUCCUUGUGAUUUAUGUCCAUGUGGGUCUCGCCAGGCGGAGGGAUAAGGGUCAUAGGAUAUCGGCUAUUCCACAGACCAAGGCAAGUCGCUUUCUAUCUGCUCAGUCGUAAGGAAGGCAAGUCAUUGGGGAUCUCUGCACAUAGACAAGAUGAGGGAAUGUUUCUCCCAGAACAAAGGAAAGAAGGGGAGGCACUUGAGAGAAAAUCAGAGCAAUAAGAUGUCAAGGAAACUGUAGACUCAGAGCCAAGAGAUGCCACCAAGCGCUCCUGCCCCAGAGCUCAGCCAGGCCAGGCCACGUGGAGACGGCUCCUGCAAAGCUGCAGAGGGGCUAAGACCAGGAUGUGGAAAGGGAACAGGAAUUAGAUGAGGUUGAAGCAGCUGGAGCUUAGCAAGUACUUAACUGAGAGCUGGAUGUUUCUGCUUAUUUCUACUUUUAUGUUAUUUAUUUUUUUUAGAGUCCACGUCCUGCUGAAAGUGCUUAUUUUUAUAAUGUGCUCUCGUAGAAGAUUCUCCAUAACUGGCCUUGAUGGUGUGAACCAUGGCUCUUCUGGGAUACCCUGGGUGCUUUUAAACAACAGCUGCCAAAGAAACCCCACUCCAAACCAACCAAAUCAGUCUCUGAGGACCGGGGGUGGGGUGGUGGUUCUCAAAGUUGGACCCGGGGACCAGCAGCAUCAGCAUCACCAGGGCACCUGUUAAAGUGCAAACUCUCAGGCCCCACCCUGACAACAGAAUCCAAAGCUGUUAGGGUGGGGUCCAGAGAUCUGUGUUUUAACAAGGCCUUCAGGAGCAGGGCGUCGCAUACCCAGGAAAGUGUGAGAACUAGUGGGAGAUUUUAACUUGUGUCCGGUGCUGAAAACCACUGGGUUUGUUUAGUAUUGAGUUUGGGGACUCUUUCUUCCCUGUAGAGGGCCAGAGUUCAGAAUGAGGAAAGCUGGUCUCUCUCUACUCCCUGUAGGGGAAUGGGUAUAAUGACUUUACCAUUCAUUGAAUCUCUUCUACAUACAUAAGUGAGAAUAAGGAAAAUCGAUCGCCACAAUUAAUGUCCCUGACCACUGUUCUAUCUCCAACACCAGUAACAGAAGAGAUCCACCCCACCCCCGCGCAGGGCAGCCUUGCUAACUCUCCUGAAAUGCUGAGACGUCCAGGACCCCGUCCCAUAGCUGCGUCAUGGCUAGCUUCUCUUAAACCAAGUUCACACCCUGCAAACACAAAGCCUUUUUCUUAGGUUUUGGCACCUCCUUCGCAACCCUGAUCCUGAAGGAAUUAAUUUCUCAUUUGGAGUAGUGGAGUUGUUGUGGGAAGUGGGUGGAGUGGGAACUUCUAGGAAUCACAACUUCUUUCAUGCACUUCUUUCUCUCAUUUUCAACCUGAUGCUCCCGUCAGCCCUUCCGACAUGCUCGUCAGCCACAGUCACUCUGCUUUGUCUGGGGUCAUGAGACAUCCGCAGGCAGAGGGGCUACAGUAUCCCUACAGGCCAGACCAACAGGAGGAGGGACUCUAGCUGAAGCUCCAUGACCCUUCUGCCCUCCAGUCUGGGAGGAGGGGGCGUGUGUAUGUGUGCGCGCGUGCGCGUGUGUGUGUAACAACUACAAGGUGUCCCAAAUCCUGUUCUCCCAUAUCUGGAAAAUCUGUGACCUACAUAAAGCCAGUUCCUGCCUAGUGAGGAACAACAGGAAAGGAUAGAAACCAAGGGCAGGUGGUCGCUUCUGGAGGCUGCUGCUGGCUUCAAUGGGCAUGCCUCUGUCUGGCCCAUAAUCUUGAUUUCUGAACACAUGGGUCUCAGCUCACCUGCCAGAUGCGCCCCGGUUCCCACUUGGUUAUUCACCAUCCUCCUCUUUCCUGUCUGUCUCUUUGCCUCUAUGGGUCCUUGCUGGCAACCCCACAGGGUUUCUCCUUGGCUUCUUCUAAGUCUGCUGGGCAAAGGAAGAUGUCUUGGAUUUAUUAAAUCAGCCCCAUAUUGGGGCCAGAUGUUCCACAGCAAAUGAGGUGGUCAGGACUGAAGUCAAGAAACUAAGUGAGGAAACAAGGAGGCCCCAGUGAUGAACGAUGGUCUCUCCUCAGCCCUUACUGAAAAAUCUCCUUUCUGUCCUAUUUUGCUCUCGGUAUGAGCUCUGCUCUUCCUCUCCUCCCAAAUCAAACAUUUGGUGAUGCAUUUCUGCAAACUUCCACGUCUCGCUCUGGGGCCAGGAGACUGGUGUUUGCUGGGCUGUUUCUUCCAAGCCUUCUCUGCAGAAAAGGGCACGGAGGAGAAAACACGGGAGUUCUGGCAAGUGUGGGCUGAAGGCCUCACAGUAAGUCUGAGAGCGAGCGCCAACCUGGCAGGGAAGAGCUGGUGGGGACAGCUCUCGGGGACUCUGGGUGGCCAGAGGAUAUGGGCAGAGGCCAAGGCUUCUCACCUUCCUAAUUGCAAAGGUUAUAUUAAUAAUUAUAACAGUAAUUAGUCAUGGUGAUAACAGUAACAGUAAUGGAUAACUGUGGGGUACUGUGCCAGGGGGAGCACACGGGUUGUAUCAUCUCACUUAGAGCCUUCCAACACCCACCCAGCCAGCGUCUUGGCUUUAUUAUUAUUCUCUCCAUCUUGUACCUGAAGACUGCGGCUCAGAGAGGUCUCAGCUAACCCAUGAUGGAAUUGGGAUUUGAACUCAGGCAGCCUAACUCUGAAGCCCAAGCUCUUAACUGCUAUGUGAUGACACAAGGAAUACGUGUUUGUUAAAGAAAUUGUUAACAAUUCAGAUAAAGAGAGGGAAAACCAUAAAAUACUCACCAUCUACUGUCAACACUUUGGUUUCUUUCUUUUUUUUUUUUUUUUGAGACAGAACCUCGC